ACAGUUUCAGUUGCAGUGGUCUCGGUGGUGAGGGAGGGCGCAGGGAUGGAGCCGUCAACAUAGCCCCAAAGGCCUGCACCAUUGAGGUAUGAACGAAUUUGACGAGUCCAUUUAAGAUAAUUGGUUUCAGAUAAUUUGAUGAAUUGGGAUGUGUUUUGAGAAGAGUUUGUGGGGUUGGCAGCCAUUGGAGAACGAGAGAAAAGGAGAGAAGAGAAAGGCUGGAAGAAGACACGGAAAAAAGGAAGGAAAAGGUAAGGACCUAGACCUAGGCUGAUACCAUGUAAAAGAAUGAAUUUCUGCUUAAUUUUAUUUUGUGUGACUGAUACAUAUAUAGAGUACGACUAUUGGG
rnacentral:lncRNA from 1 species